UUGGGCGUUAAUGGCCUCAGGCACACCAAGGUUAACCCUGGGUCACACAGUUGGUGUCCUAAGGAGGAACAGAACCCAGACCUUCAAGACUCUAAACCCAACACUAACUCCUAACAUAAGGAUAUCUCAAAAAAAAAAACCCUGAAAUACUGUUAAUUAUUUAAUAGGUGUAUACAGGGGGACAAAACACUUUCCCAGUGAGCACCCACAUUUUCAUAACUUUAUUAAACCCUUGUUAUAGUUUCCCUCUACAUGAGAACUUUUAGGACAAAAGUAACAGACCUCAAUAAUAUGCAACCAGGAAGUUGAAUCCUUUGUGCCUUUCUUCAUUAUCCUGUUCCUUCUUAGUGUAGUAAUCUCACAGGAUAAGGUUAGAUGCUGACACAGAUUUAAAUUCCUGCAGAUAAAUAAGGAGGGAACCAGAUGAAAAAGGGAUGAUUGUGAUCAAACCCAAAUGGAAGAAUGUUCAGAAAGAGGAGCUUCCUCAUACUCCACUCCAAACACAUGAAGAAGAAAAAAGCUUUAUCAGCUAAGAAUGUCAUCAGAGAUGGAUAAAGAUGAGAGAAUAAAACUAGCUGUUGGGAUAAAAAGUGUGUGGUUUUACUAUACCCAGUGACUACAACAAUAUAAACACAUAAAGAACAAUGACAAAAAUUACUCUGAACUUGUUGCAAUUUUAAGGGUCAACCUUUGUUCCAGAGAAGAAAUAAGAAAAUGAGUCUUCCUCCUUAUGUUACAAAUAGCUGGAAAAUUACCAAUGGGGAACAUGCCAUAAACUGUCAGUUUUUAUGUUUGAUUUUGCUGAACUGUCUCCUCUCCCCCUCCCCCACUUUUUUUAUUUUUACUUUUAAAAUUUUUUGUUAAAAGUAGUGUGACUCGCAGGAGAAGGGGAAAGGCUAUAAUAGGGGAUGCCUAUAUGUGCAUAUAUACGUAUCUGUAGAAAUUACAUCAUAUAUAAUAUAUUUAGAAAAUAUAUGUGUGUGUGUGUGUGUUGUAUAUGUGUGUGUAUGUGUAUGUAUAAGCAAAACUCAAUUUUCCAUCAGCAAUUCUGCUUGCUUUUGACUCCAGGGAACAGGGAGCCUCACCUAGGAUAUGAUAAUCACUUCAAAUCUCAUCACCAUGUUGAUUGACUCAGUUUCCAAUACUCAAAACUUUCUCAACUUCCUCAAUUGUCUCUUCCAAAGACUGGAGGGCUUGACAUCAGUAAACACAGCCAUGUGGUUUGGAAUGAGUGGCAGCAGGGGGAAGAAAGGAAAGAGGGACCAGAUGUCAGAACCAGGCAUACAGCAGAAAAAAGGAGGAAAGACUCCCAAAACGAGUUCAUGCCCAGAAAAAAGAAGAAGGUGAUUAGGAAUACAAAUGCCUUUGGUUGCAUUUCUCUUCAACCAUGUCAGCAAUGGCGAACAUUGUCAGAGGUAGCAGAGGCAUGUCAUUGCCACACAGAGCAAGCAUCUAGAAAGCCGUGGGACUUGCCACAGAGUAAAAUGGCGCCCUUAAAGAUUCUGCCCCUGUUAUUCUGCCCUCGCUGCUGUGUGAAUCUCAAAUGAAUGGGCCUUCAUUGCUUCCAUGAAAGACUUUGACUGACCAUAAAAUUCAGCACACUUUCCCUAUUUUUUUGCAUCAUCUUCACGCCAUUGUUACUCAAAAUAAUGUGUUCUUUUGCUGUUGAUAAAUAGCUGUAAAUCCCCAUUAGACUGGGCUGCAUUUAUAUUUGACAGGUUUCUUUUUCUCUGGAUUUUAUUGAUAGUUUUGGAAGAUCUGCCUCACCUUAGUUUGCCUCUUGUCCUCAUAAAGA